CAGCCGCCGCGGUAAUACGUAGGGUGCAAGCGUUAAUCGGAAUUACUGGGCGUAAAGCGUGCGCAGGCGGUUCGCUAAGACAGAUGUGAAAUCCCCGGGCUUAACCUGGGAAUGGCAGUGGAUACUGGCUCGCUAGAGUGUGUCAGAGGAUGGUGGAAUUCCCGGUGUAGCGGUGAAAUGCGUAGAGAUCGGGAGGAAUAUCAGUGGCGAAGGCGGCCAUCUGGGACAACACUGACGCUGAGGCACGAAAGCGUGGGGAGCAAACAGGAUUAGAUACCCGCGUAGUCCCUGUCUCUUAUAC
rnacentral:rRNA from 1 species